AGCCUUCUGUAACUGUUCUGAGAUUUCGUCAUACACGAGACCACAAAGGCUGAUGAGACUCCCAAGAUAAGUGUUAUU
rfam:Schistosoma mansoni, Puerto Rico, WGS project CABG01000000 data, contig: 0010